rnacentral:rRNA from 1 species
UACGAAGGGGGCUAGCGUUGCUCGGAAUCACUGGGCGUAAAGGGUGCGUAGGCGGGUCUUUAAGUCAGGGGUGAAAUCCCGGAGCUCAACUCCAGAACUGCCUUUGAUACUGAGGAUCUUGAGUUCGGGAGAGGUGAGUGGAACUGCGAGUGUAGAGGUGAAAUUCGUAGAUAUUCGCAAGAACACCAGUGGCGAAGGCGGCUCACUGGCCCGGUACUGACGCUGAGGUGCGAAAGCGUGGGGAGCAAACAGG